GAAGCUUGCGUUUUGAUCGGCUUCAGAUGCUCUCUCCCCAGACCUUGGUGUUUUCCCUUUAGGAAGUCAGGAGGAAUAGGCUUUAAGCUCCUGGCGCCAAGACCCUUAUUCUGCCUCACGUGGACGCAGACCAGCCAGGAGCACCGCAAGGACCCAGGUGGCCCCGCGCCCCGCGUUGGGCGGGGACGAAGACCUGGCCUCCCUGGAGCGCGAGCGCCCUGGCGCACUGGCGGGCCGCAGGAAGCUGCUGGAGAUCCAGAGCCUGUUGGACGCCAUCAAGAGCGAGGGAGGCGACGGAGCGCGUGGCCCGGCUGUGCGCCAAGGCUGAGAGGAAGGCUGCGGAGGCGGCGCGGAUGGGCAGGAGGAUGGUGGAGCUGCAGCAGCGAGCGGAUCACAGGCUUCGGCUUCGGGUGUUCCAGUCGCCUGCUGAAAGGGUGCUGGGAUCUGUGUGAUUUCCCGUGCUGCGACCCACUGUGCUGGCUCAAACCAUGUUGCUGCCCGGGAAUCUCCUGGCCUGGCUUUCUGUUUAAUCAGAUGAAUGUGCUACUCUGCCUUCCGAAAUCUCCAAUUGCCGGUUUAACACGGCAACCAAACCAGUGUAUUUUGUAUAGAGUGUCGCUGCACUGCGGCCUUGGCCCAAACAGCCGUGCCGGCCCAAACUGCCGCGCUGGCAGCCCGUGGGGCUCUUGCACCUGGGAAUCUCCUCAUCUGUGGACAACAAAGAUCCGUAUGAAAAUGCGGCGUGCACUCCUUCUCUGUGGAUUCACUGGGAGCUGCAAUCCUGAGUUGGUCCUACAGCGCCAUGUUCCCUCUUCUCCUCCAAAACCUAUAUAUUAUAUAUAUUUAUCCAAAUGAACUAAAAGCCUUAAAUGUCACCAGGAAAAAGAGAAUGAAACCCGUUUCUGAAGAUGGCAGUGUCUGCCUCAUCGUCAUCAAAUGCAGUAAACUGCAGGUUGUAACACAUCGUGUGAAGCUGCAAUUGGAAGGACAGGAAAUCCCCAGGCAUGGAAGUGAGGAGGAGUGAGAGAGAAGCAGGCACACUUCCAGCCCUAGGUACCUGUGUUCAAAAGCAUUGGCUAUGCAAUGCACCCCAGACCCUGGAGGAGGAAUAUAGACAUGAGACCUGGUAGUGAAGACAAAAGAAUUCAGAGAUGGUGUGCCAGGUCCACAUGUGCAGGCAGUAACUCUACUCAGGGGCAUCUCACAUACCAGGUAUUGUUCUGAAAUAGAACAGUGUUAACUGCGCUGACGAAGCUUACAUUUUGGAGCAGGGAACGUUCAGAAAACAUAUCAGUAUCUCCUGUGGUGAUGUGUUUGGUGGGUAACAAAAUGCGCUGUGCUGCUGGUAGACGUAAGAUGGAGAAUGAUGGUGGAGUGAGGAUGCAGUGGUCCACUGCCGACUGACUGACUUUGUAAUGUUUCACAAGUCUCUUCACCUCACUUUACCCCCUCUGUAAAAUGGGUAUACUUAAGAGUACUACCUCAUAGGGAUAUCGUGAAAAUAAAUGAGUUGAUACUAUGUCAAAUGAGCUGAAUUUGGCCCAAGGGGUGGGCCGCAGUUGGCUGAUCCCUGGGUGGCCUCUGCUGAAACAAAGCAUUCUCUGAAAUGUCAUACAGUUAGCAGGAGGGUUAUUAGUGACUGCUCUUGGGAUCCACCCUGCCAGAGGGAAGGAAAAGAAGCAGGAUGGGGCGAGGGAGAAGUUGAGCUGUGGUGAAGGCUCAGCAGAAGCCUUACCCAACCCUCUAGGAGGUUCUGAAGACAGCGUGACAGGCACCCUCUAAGAUGGCCCUCAGCAAUCCCUGCCACCUGGCAUUGAGGCCUUUGUAGAAUCUCCGUUUGGAGCAUGGGCCAGAGUUAUGGACUUGCUUCUAGUGGACAGAAUUCUGCAGAAGCGAUGGGAUGUCGUGGCUUCUACUGUGCACACCCUUUCGCCCUCUCACCAUUGUGAGCAGACACCAUGUUGUGAAGGAACCCGGUGUAAAGGUUCUGCCAUUUGGGACCAAGGCCUGACAACAGUCACAGGCUUGAUCUUGGAAGCAGAUCUCCCCUUCACAGACCUCAGCUGCAAGGCUUGGCGAGGAGACCUGGGAGCCAGGUGCCACCCCAGUUGAGCUUUUCAGACUACGGUAGCCCAGCCAACAUCUUGAUUGCAACCUUGAGAGACCUUGAGUCAGAGGCACUCGGCCAAGCCCUGCACAGCUCCCUGACCCAUGGAAACUGUGAGUAAUAAAUGUUUGUUUUAAGCUUUUAAGUCUUGCGAAAAUUUGUUAUGCAGCAAUGGAUAACUAGGACAGUGUGAUGGCCCUUCAGAACUCUCCCCACGUUGGAGUGAGAGCACUGGGCUUUCUGUCUCUGCGGGGAUCAAUCACCAAAUGCGGCUGCCCGGGGAAGGACGCGGUGACAAUCUCUGAAGACCGCUGCUGGCUUGGAGCCAUCUCAGCAGCUGGAAUAAGACCCUCAUUCCUGAAGGGCAAUCUGGGUCAUGCGUCCACUGCAGCUGCAACGUUCUGAGACUCUAGACUGUCCCCUGCUCACGUUCACCACGGUUUGGAGAUGACUUUAGGGCCAAGGCGGGCUUGAACGCUGCUAUGCGAGGGUUGCCUGCUUAUUCUUUUUCAUGUUUGGCAUCUCAAGAUUCCAUAAUUUUUUCUUCCAGCUCAGCAGUGCAUCUAAACAGAUCUUUACCUUAAAAUUGUAAUCAUUACUAGCGUAGUUUUCAAGGGGAGAGUCUUUUUUAUCUCCAGGGAACAGAAUAUCAGUUGAAUUAAUGGUCUGCUGAACUGCCCACAGUGGAAAUGAGCAGAAUCUUGGAAAACAGGCCCUGAACUCUGAGGUCCUGUUUUAUUCUAAAGUGCAGCCUCUUCAUGGAGAGAGAACCCCGGAUCUCGGCUCUUUAACGCUUGCCUCUUUCCAUCCCCGGGCUGGCUGGGAACCGGGCUGCGGCUGCUCAGACUCGGAGGGGUGGGUGUGGGCGCCCAGGCGGGGCGGGGAUCUCGGAAAGCAGCCGAGCGUGAGACGGUCGCUAGGCACCGGGCCUCACGGUGCUGUCUGUCCCCAGCCCCGCGCCUUCCUGAGCCGGCCCGGGCUCCCUCCUGGCGGACCCUGGGCCUGGAGCAAGAGGGUGCGCACCUGCGGGAGGGGAGGCGGGCACCGGGCCGCGAGGCGGGUGCGCCCGGGACCCUGGGUUCCGGGUCUUGCGCGCCGCGCUCGCCCAGAGCCGGGUGGGGCCCUGAAGCCAUAGGGGGGAUCGCGCCCUGUCGCCUCCUGAGGGCGCGCGCCUGGUGACAGGGGGCCCUGACCUGGUAAAGCCAGGGCUCGGGGAGCUCUGCCGCCUCCUGGCUCCCAGGUCUCUGCGGGCCUCCC
ensembl:lncRNA